rnacentral:rRNA from 1 species
AUACGGAAGGUCCGGGCGUUAUCCGGAUUUAUUGGGUUUAAAGGGAGCGCAGGCGGCACUUCAAGCGUGACGUUAAAUUUCGGGGCUCACCCCCGUUUUGCGUCGCGAACUGUUGUGCUUGAGUAGGCGGCAGGGAGGCGGAAUUCGCGGUGUAGCGGUGAAAUGCUUAGAUAUCGCGAGGAACUCCGAUAGCGCAGGCAGCCUCCCGUUGCUUUACUGACGCUCAUGCUCGAAGGUGCGGGUAUCGAACAGGAUUAGAUACCCUGGUAGUCCGCACUGUAAACGAUGGAUGCCCGCUGUUUGCGAUAUACUGUGAGCGGCCAAGAGAAAUCGUUAAGCAUCCCACCUGGGGAGUACGCCGGCAACGGUGAAACUUAAAGGAAUUGACGGGG